rnacentral:rRNA from 1 species
AGAGUUUGAUCAUGGCUCAGGACGAACGCUGGCGGCAUGCUUCAUACAUGCAAGUCGCACGAGCUUCCGUUGAAUGACGUGCUUGCACUGAUUUUAACAAUGAAGCGAGUGGCUGAACUGGUGAGUUACACGUGGGAAAUCUGCCCAGAAGCAGGGGAUAACACUUGGAAACAGGUGCUAAUACCGUAUAACAACAAAAUCCGCAUGGAUUUUGUUUGAAAGGUGGCUUCGGCUAUCACUUCUGGAUGAUCCCGCGGCGUAUUAGUUAGUUGGUGAGGUAGAGGCCCACCAAGACGAUGAUACGUAGCCGACCUGAGAGGGUAAUCGGCCACAUUGGGACUGAGACACGGCCCAAACUCCUACGGGAGGCAGCAGUAGGGAAUCUUCCACAAUGGACGAAAGUCUGAUGGAGCAAUGCCGCGUGAGUGAAGAAGGGUUUCGGCUCGUAAAACUCUGUUGUUAAAGAAGAACACCUUUGAGAGUAACUGUUCAAGGGUUGACGGUAUUUAACCAGAAAGCCACGGCUAACUACGUGCCAGCAGCCGCGGUAAUACGUAGGUGGCAAGCGUUGUCCGGAUUUAUUGGGCGUAAAGCGAGCGCAGGCGGUUUUUUAAGUCUGAUGUGAAAGCCUUCGGCUUAACCGGAGAAGUGCAUCGGAAACUGGGAGACUUGAGUGCAGAAGAGGACAGUGGAACUCCAUGUGUAGCGGUGGAAUGCGUAGAUAUAUGGAAGAACACCAGUGGCGAAGGCGGCUGUCUAGUCUGUAACUGACGCUGAGGCUCGAAAGCAUGGGUAGCGAACAGGAUUAGAUACCCUGGUAGUCCAUGCCGUAAACGAUGAGUGUCUAAGUGUUGGAGGGUUUCCGCCCUUCAGUGCUGCAGUCUAACGUCA